GAGCCCGUGGGGGGCGGGCUGGGGAAGGUUCGUUGUUCUAUUGCGAUGAGCUUGUUGUAUUGGGUAUUUACGCAGCUCCCUCUGCGUGCCCAUGAGUUAGGGGAUGUCCUUCAGUUAAUCAUUCCCAGUAUGCUAAGGACUAACUCUUAGGCUGCUGGCUGGAUGAGCCCAGUUUUGCUGCUGGUUGCCUGUCGGAGCUGUUGCACACAGCACAGUUAUCGCUGCUUAACAGCUUUGGAAGGAGAAAAUCACUUGCAGCCUCAAAACAAAAAAGGCGAAGAUGGUUACAACAUCUUGACCACCUUUGCUGAUCAGCACAGUUGACCAGUAUCAGUGUCUUGAGUCUCAGUCCAACUCUCAUGUUUUGCCGCUCAUUUUCUCCAAUAUUGAGACUACCACAGAAAGCAGAAUCUCCUGGUGCCUACAUCACAUUUGUGAGCACCUUUGAAACAAUGCUGGGACUCACUUACAUUAAGAAACAAAAUCAUUACCACUGGAUUUCUGCUCUGGGAUCUUUUUUAUAACAUCAGAGCUCCCAACGUACUUCCUCCCUGGAGAGCAGUCUGAGCUUUGCAGAUGAAGCUUGUAGCAGCAAGGAUAAGGAGUACAGAACUGGAAACCCAGCACUCAGCCCUGCUUACAGCUGAGGUGAGUGCACACAGAGCAGUUGCCUCUGGAUAGAGCUCUGGUAAUGGAAGAGUUAGAAGGAUAUCAUGAUUUUGGGGUGUAGAUGUCAUUGCUCCCACAGCCUGAGUAUACCUACAUCUUCAGUCAUACAGCAAAGGUGACUUGUGCAGGGAAUUUUGUUCCCAUAUUUCCCUGUCUUGAGUUUCCAACAGGAUUUCCUCACUAAACAAUGUCAAACUGAGGCAGGUGUGGGGUGAAAGUCCUCGCAGAGGCAUGUGAGGUGGUGCCAGAUGUUUUGCAGGUGAUGGUGUUGUUUGUGAGCAAGAGCGGAAAUGGUGUGGGGAAGGGUGUGACGCUGUGCUGGUUCAGAUGAGCUAAGAAAACCAGGUCAUUAGGAAUGCCAGGCUGCUUUGUGUUCAAGCAGAGCUGAGUAUUCGGCAGCAUAAGGAAGGUUUUACAGCUAAGCUGCAUGCACAGCUCCACAGCCUCGCCUGGACUUUCUUAAAGAUCCGGAAGCUUCAUGCAAACCAUCAUUUUUCAAAGGAGUCGGGUGCUUGCUCAGGAGAAUCCAGUUUUUUUUUUUAGGCAUUUCUGAACAGAAAGAUAGAGCUGUGCAAAUGUACUCCUCAGCAUAAAGGUCUUCUCUUAACUGGACUUCUUCACUCUCUCCCCUGUUCUCAUUUCCUAUCAAGCAAGCACUGCGUUCCUGCAGCAUUUUGGAGGGGUGGGCUGUUCCCCGCAGCUGUUAGCUGAAAGGGCUGUGCUUCAGUCCCCAUGGAAACAAUUUGGAGAGUUUUUGAGCUUGUGUAGCAUUGCCGUACUGUAUUUCACCUCCCUUUUCACUUCCAUUAGGAGUUCUGCAAAGCUUUAAUUCAUUAAUGUUUGAAAAGCCCUGUGAGGUCCUCAAAGAAGGUGCUAGAGAGAAGCAAAGUGUUAUUACCUCAGAUUAACUGUUUCUGUUUUGCCCUGGAGUCACUGCUGUGCUUGCUCGCUGUGCUUGGUGAAAGCCAGAAUGAGGAGCGAGGGCGUCUUGUCAGCGACGGCCUCCUGGAGAGCUCUUCUGUGCUGCAGAAAGUCACCUCGACACCGGCUGGCAGGCCAACCAAAACUUCUGUGAGGGCAGGCAGAUGGGGGUACAUUCUGGAAAGCUUGAUACUCUGAUCUUCAGGAGUAAAAUGGAGGGAAAUUGUAAAAGAAGAUAGCAGCACAGCUCCAUGAUGCUCUGAUGCAUACCAUUGCUGAACAUCACAGACUGUGGGACAGAGCAGCUGAGAGCUUGCGGCACCUGUCACAACAAGAGUAAUUGCUGCCACCAUGGAUGCAAGUGUCCUCCAGCCCCAAAGUCCUCAGCACAGAAGAACGUGGCAUGUCCUUGAAGGACAUACAAUCUGUCAUGCUCAGCACAGUUACGCUCUCUUCCACCUGUACUGUUUUCCCUGUGAGGGCAGCCACCCUUGCACCAUGAAACCAGCCUGUGCAGCUGACGGGUGUCAGCACGGCUGCCUGUGCUCGGCUGCCUUCUCUGAGCAAGGCCUCUUUGAAGAUACUGAUGCUACUAAAAUAUUCAGCUACCUCAGGGAUCUACAUCCACCUGAGCCAGGGGCUUUCAGGUUUCUGCUCCUGAUGUUAGUGGUGUGCAUACAGAGCUCUGGUGUAGCUUGGAGCAGGCUGCACCCCCAUGCUGUGGCCAAGCGUAUCCCAUACAUAUCUGUAAUUCAGAAAAUAACAUGCUACAGCCUAAAGGGUCUGACAUUUCUAUUCUCUGCCCAGUGUCUCAUCACCUUUCAGGCACCUGGUGGUCCCCAGUCUCUCCCAGAUGCCUGCUAAACCAUUUGUCCUUGAGGAUCACUGCAGAGCUCUGGGUAAAUAUGCAUCUGUGCACUGGGCUUUGGUGUCCCCAUCCCUCACUGCUCCACUGCUUCAGUGUGUGGGAGCCCUGUCGGGUGGUUCCCCUGCAAAAUCCUCCCCAGCUUUCUGCCGCAGUGGCCUCCCGUGUUGUAAAGAGGAGACUGCAGCUGCUGGCGAGGUUUUCUGAAGAGCCUGCCAACAGGCAUUGUAUCUGGGCUGCAUUUUUCCUUCCCUUCUUCAAUUCUGCUUUGUGUGUGUAUGUGUGUGUGCAGCGUUGUUGUUUUAAUAAUGCUUUUAUUUUCUUUUUAAUUAAUCAUGGCUAUCUAGGAAGUUACAAACAAUAAGAAAUAGCUAAACUUUCACUGCCUGCCUCAUUAGGGAUACAGUGAGAGAGAAGCACAUCUCCCCAUCUCUGCUCUUAUUUCCAGCAAUCACAAGAGCCUGGUUUAAACUGUUUAUUUUAUCAUUUAAAAGAAAUUGUGUCUCAGGCAUGCUUUCACCAGUUUGGCAUGAUCAGCUGAAAACCACCAUAACAAGAAACGAAAGGAUCGACGUCUAUCCGGGUCAGAUCCUUGCCUGAUAGGCUGCCCAAGCCCCAGGCCAGGCAGAGCCGAUGGGGUGCAAGUCACUGCUCACUGUCACAGCAGUCUGAGGUGAGCCUGAGCCUAGUGGGUUCCCCCGAGGCAUCCCCCCCAGCCUGGUGAUGCCCAGCCCCUGCUUGCUUACUGUGCCCUCUCUGCAGCAUGCAGCAUGCUCUGCCCUCUGCCACCCUGCUUCAGGCUCCCCUUGCCCCUUCUUCAUGUCCUCCCACUGUGUGAUUCAUUCAUGGUUCAGAGAUACCAGCCUGAAUGGAAAAAAACUCAUCAAACAUUCUGUACAUUUCUUAGUGACUCACAAGGGUGACCAGCUCACUCAGUCACUCACUCUCUGCCUCAUAGGCUCGCUUGGCCCCCCCAUGUCACUCCUGAUGGUCACUGCUGUUUCUUUGCUGUUUCCUGCACGACAAAUCUUGGGAUGCUGCAGCAGCCCAAUGCAGAACUCUCCCUCACUGACCCUGCCACACAGGACAAGGAGUGGCGGAGAGCCCUGACUGCAGCAGCCCUGCCUAUGGGACUGCACAGCAGAACUGCAGUUUCUCCCUCAGCUUCUCCAGUUUGGCUACGCACAAAUUACUUCGUCAUUGUGGUGAAACAAAUAAGGCUUCAUUAUCAUUACCAUCCUGAUGGGAGUAAACAAGUUUAUUUACACUUGAGCACUACUGAAGAAUAAAGUCAUAGAGGAAAGUUCAUGGUAGGUGGCCUGUCUUUGUCGUUAGGGACGGCUUUUACCAAAUCACUGCCCGCUCGGCAGGACAGGCUGCUAUUCAGGCAGGCCCGGGUUAAUGAAAGUACGGUGUGUGCUUGUUAAAAGGAGGACUACAACACUUGUAAUCAUGGGUGGUCACAUUUUUAUUUAAUGAUACGUAUCUUCCCUUUCUCUGGCGUUCAUUCUUAACUCUUUGCCUCCCACUUGCCCGUCCUUAUGCAAUGACUAAUUAAGGCCUGAGUGGUAAAACCUGACACCACGUCCACAACCAGCUAAACCCACUUAACAAGUCAUUUCUGUUUCUAAAUAAUCCUUUUGCUGACAGCCCUAAGAUACCAAAAGCAAAAAGACCUCAAAGCAGAAAGGGCCCCACAUGUGUAAUCACUGGAGCUAAAAUAAUAAUAAAAGGACAACUGCAAACACUCUUGUGGAGGAAAAGGCUGCAAAACAGAACAGCUUCCUUUCUUUCAAGGCCUUGCUUUGGCCCCAGUGAUAAAUCUGUUGGGACAAGGAUACUUCAAAGCCAGAAGAUUAACCCUGCCCUCACUUGCGUGAGUUCCAAAGCUUGUGUCAAUGGAGUUAUCCCCGGGCAGGAGAAUCAGCCCUGCUGUUCUUAUCUACAGACGCAAAGAAAGCUGAAGCCAGCUAUGAUGGGGAAAAAAAAAUCUAUUUAUCUUUGACAUGAUCUUGCUGAAUUCCUGAGUAUAUCAUGCUACCCUGAGCAGCCUCCUACCCCUUCCAAACUCCCCUGUGACUUCUUAUGACUGACCAGUCUGGAGUGCUCAUGCCUGGAUCCUGGGGAAUUUCAAGCUCAGAUGCCAUUUUUCCAUCUUCCAGCAUAUUACAGAGCUGCACAGGACGAUAUGUACGUGUAUAUGCCCACACACAAAGGCAGAACUCGCCAUCGCUCACCUGGUGUAUUAAUCAGUGUGUUGCAGGCUGUUACUUGUUUCUGUGGUCAUGCAUAGAAGUCUACCUGCCAGCUUUUCUCGCUCCCCACAGUAAUUCUUGGACUUCACCAUCACUUUUAACAGAGGAGCAGGGAUGUGAGAACAUAUUUCUCCAAGCUUUGGAAAACCCACAGCUGGAUGGAAAGCUGAUGCUCCAGUGCAGUGUGUGAAUUAUUGCCUGUCACAGAAAUUAGUCACAAUCAUUUUCCAGAAGCAUUUAAGAAUAUAAAAACCCAAAUUACAAGCAGUUUUGGAAUGGGGAAGGUUCCCUACUCCCUUCUGCCUGUCCUAAGCGGACAGAGAAAAUGCUUAAGGAAAAGCUUUGUGCGACGCUCUGACUUAGGUGCAGUUCCUCUCUUUGGUUUCCUUAUGGGUCAGAGGAGACCCAUUGAGCAUGGCUCCUGCCCUGCUCUCAUUCCAUACUCUCUGAGCCCAGGAGGGACUGAGAACUCCUGCUCCCACAUCCCUGUCUGAGGCCUGGGACAGCAGAGCAGGAGGAGCCCGCUGCUAAGGGAGAGCAACAGGGGCAUCGCUACUGUUGACAUGAGCAUGUCCCCACCUGCCCAGUGCUCCCAGCACUCUCUGGCCCUACUUCAAAUUCUGCUUAAAAGUGUAUUUAUUAUUCUAGAGGAAACAGUCUGCUGGCUGCACGAGUUGUGAUAAGAGGGUGAAUGAUGGACUUCUGGUACACUGGAGCCUCCAUAUAUGGUGGGCUGGGCUAGGAAAAUCCAGGUAUCUAAAGGCGUAAUUCAGCCAAGCAAUUAGCUGCGCUGAAGGGUUUAGUAGGGCUGCAAGCCUUUGGCCCUGAGCUCACAUCUCCCCUUGCCCAAAUGCACAGUGCUCAACAGAUGUGGGCAACGUGUCCAGGGCACCUCAUCCCCAGUUUACUUGCAUAAACCUGAGGCAUGAAAACAUGAGUAUCAGAGGGAAUGCUGGCAUAAAUAAGGAGAGCAGGUGAAGUGUCACCAGGAUAAGCCAAACUGCUGCUGAGGCUGCAGGUGGCAAAUGAGACAGUGUUGCCUCUGAAGCAGAGAAUACAGAUAGAGUUAUUAAAUAAAUAUGCUAAGAUAAUGGGCAAUGCUAACCAUGUGAAUAACUAAUACUUGCUGCUUAAAUAUUGUUAACCCCGCUGAGUGCUUUACACAUAUCAGCAACCAAACCGGGAGCCCUGCUGGCCUCCCCAGCAGGAGGCAAACCAAGACCCAGAGAGCCAGGGCUCCUGCUGCCAGCUGACAUCCCUCAGCCUGGGAGCUCAACUAGAGGGAAUACUUCAAAAAAAAAAAAAAAAAAAAAAAAGCUAGGAAAGUGUGUUGGUUUUCAUUUAUUUAUUUAUUUUGAGUGACGGAAACUGUCUCUGAGUAUAAAGGAGGAAGAAAUUCACGUGAAGAAAAUUCAAAGCGAGUCCUGAACCUCUCACCUUGCUGACUCCUCUGUUCAGUGGCAGAAACAAACCCAAGUGGGGACUCAGAAACAGCUGAGAUCUCCCAUGAGCCAUGCACUUACUAAAGGCAGCCCUGGGGGUUUCCCUUCACCUUUAUCUCUUUCUUUUCUGCCAUUUUUCCCAUCAAUUAGAGAAGGCAAUGAGGAGUUGUCAGUGGUGUGAGGGUUAAUGAACAAAAGCUUGCACCUUGCUGCAGUGAGGCAAAAACCUCUGAGUCUUCGUGUUGUCACAAAGGUGUUGCUGAGCUUACAGUGCAUGAAAUAUCCCAGAACUCCUGCAAACUGCAGGAUUUACAUUUGCAGGCUAUAAUUACGGAGUCUCCAGCACCCUCCCACACUGUGCAAUGCUUCCACAGGCGAGAGCAGCCAAACACCUGUCUCAGGCUCCCAUGGGUUUGCAGGUCCCUGCUCGCGCCAGGCUCAGCUGCUGCAGGAGCCAGCUACCCUUUCCUGCAGCCCUCCUGUAUGGCUGGGUCACAGCAGGCAGUCAGACGGGGAUUUCGGUGUGGGACAUCAAUUCCGCCCCAGAGCACUGUCAGUGUGGUUAGGUUUACAAACAGGUGCUCACAGACAGGUUUAUUCAAUGCCACUUUGUAGUCAUUGUGAUGACUGGCUUGAACACAAGUGCUAGGGGCUCCGGGCACAGAAGUUUCGAGAGCUUCACUGGGGCCAGGCAGCACUGGGUUUGCAGAAGCCAGGUUCCCACUGCUGUGUGCUGCAGGGUCUCCCCCAGCACCUUGUUGUGAAGCUGGUUACAAGCUGAUGUCAUGGGAGGCUCUGCCCAGACUGGCACAGGCAGGUUGCUCCACAGAGGUGCACCUCUCUGCCCCCCAGGCACUUUCUGGAGAGCCCUUCCACAGCAUCCUCCCCUCCCAGCCCCCACAGCCGAGUAGUUCUUGCUCCCUCCUCGCAGUCUUCAAGUCAUGGCAGUGCUAAUGCCAGAUCCAGAAGAGAUGGCUAGCGAGAGAGAAGCUCCCCGGCACCUUGCUGAGCAGCACCUGGCUCACAGAGGGGAAGGAAGAGCUCACGGCCCACACCCAGGGCCAUCUUGGGAAUGCAGCCUCAGUGCUUACCCAACAAAUGCCAUGUGCCAAUUGGGGUAAAUGUGGAGGCUGUAGCUCUCAGGGAGGACCACAACCACCAGCUGAAAUGAAGCAGCACUGGGCGGAGGUGGUGUGUGGGCAGUGACACCUCAGAUGAGUGGAUUCAUGCCAAGGAAGAGCCUCAGUUCCUUAUGUCUAAUCCACGUGUGCUCCAUCUUUUGUAUCCCCUAGCAUUGGUCUGCACAUGCAUCCUCCACAUCCUGGAGGAGCAGAGGUAACUGGUGGGACACACACUGGUUCCUGAUGGCAGCCCAGGUCCAUCUGUCCUGCUGUGACCCUGUCUAAGCUUUCCAAGUCAUGUUUGUCUUAGUGUGCUCUGCCUGGAUUUGGCCUGACGUCAAACACCCCAAACAUGACUCGCAGCUACUGUUACUCGUUAUCACUGUAGCUGUUACUUUAUUAGCCUUCAACAGUUGGUCCUCCGGUGUUACGCUCUGAAAUGACUAAUGCCGAACCCAGUAAAGAGCAUCUGACAUUGCUGUGUGUGAAUAGCUGCUGUAGGCUUAGCAGGCAGCCAUAUGACAUGUCAUGUGGCAAGUGGAUAUACCCCCAGUAAGUUCAGUGUGUGUCCCAUAAUCCUGCUCCAAGGGCACCCGUUACGUCAGCUCUCUGCAGUGGCUGCAGGACUCCCCAGGAACAUGGCAUGGGAGCUCUGGCAGUCAGGGAAUUCCCCUUUUGCCACCCAAACCACAGGGCAGCAGCUGGUGUUGAGCAUGAGAUAAGACAUGUGCACAGCUCAUAGAGAGAGCUUUCCUUUUGCCACUGCCAGAAGAGCACAAAUUGUUCCUUUGUCAUCUCGUGUGCUCUCUCUUGCUUUAGCUCACUCACUUCUAUCUUUAUGACACCCAAACUGAAACUGAGGUGUGGGUGACCCAACCAAGGUCCUUGGAGCAGCUGCAGGCCCCCGCAGCAGCCCUGGCCCGAAAGCACCGCCAGGUCCCCCGCUCAGCCCUUGCUCUUCCCUGUGCUCUGCAAAAUCCUCCCCUCUCCUGCUUGCUCUUGGGUGCCUCCUUCUGCAGUCGCAUGAAACCCUCAUGAUCCUGCAGUGCACACGCCAUUUGCUCCCCUGCAUUGUUCCCCCAGUGGAUAUUUAUUUGAAGGGUUUCAUUAAAUUAUCUCACCAGCAUCACUUGGUACACAACUACAAAUUAAUUCAGUUUGCAUUUUGGCUGACCUAAUAUUCAUUAUAUUCCAGUCAAGUGCAUGUGUUUUCUAUUUGACAGUUGGUUCCAUGAUAAGAUACGUGGUCCAAAGUACUACACUUAGGAAUAGGAGUAAUAUUUACAGACACUCCAUGCAAAUACUGCAAUUACCUGAUUAAUUACAGCCCUUACAUUUGGUUCUGGAGAUUGCACUCUUAUCCCUCCUUUCUCCCGCUCUUUCCCAGUUGCCAUAUCUGUUUAUAGUAGACGUGAAUAGCUUUCAGAUCUGUGUAAAUGAAGCAAAUCUGUCUCUAUAAAACCUAAGCACUACGUGGUUGCACAGAACCGCCUCCCAUUCCCCAUCACUGUGCUCACCCAUGGCAGCUUGGUGUGGCUGAAGUGCACUGAGCAGCUCCAGUGCUGCGCUUCUGCAGCAUCCUCAGUCCAAGGAGGUGGAAAUCAGAGCCCAAAUGUGGAAAGGAAAGUCAAGAGGGACUUGGAAACAGCGUUAAACAUGCAGGAGUGCUGUAACUGCAGUUCUCCUUAAACACAGAAAAUAAGCCAGCUGCAGUGGGAUCGACAGACAGACCCCUGCACGAGGAAACGUUGCAUUUCCACAGCAUUUUGUAUCCUGGGAUCAAAAAGCGCCUUUAAAACCUCCAUGCCACCAAGCCUAAAAGCAGCCACUGAAAUCAGCUGCCUGUAUGACACACAUUACCAGCCACAUUUUAUGUUCUUGUGUUCGUGUGAAAUUAGCAGACAGGGUUCGGGCAGAAGCACUUGGCUUUUUUCUUGAUGCUGUCUGUGGCCCCUCUGCUGACACCAGUGAAGUCAGCCCUGGCACAGCUGCCAGCUGGAGGAAAUAGUUGGGAAACAGAGGUGAAGCACUGGAAACUGCUCCUGGCUGGUUGGCAGCUCUGGACAAAUGGGCCUUGCUAGGGAGAUCUCAACACAGAAAAUACUGGAAAGGAGCACGAGAGCUCAAAUGUUCCCCACCUCCCAGCUCAUGCAUUUUGUCUUACCCAUAACCGCUUCGUCCUCCCUCUGCCAUUUUGGCCUCCUCUUGCUCACCCUCUGCUGCUCGCAGCCUGCCGCAGGUGCGGCUCUUCCCUGCCACCUCUUCCCACAGCCUCUGCCAAGCGGGGCUUCCUGCCCCCUGCCAGGAGCUUUCCUGGGGGCUUCCCUUUAUGCUUAAGCGCCCUGCAGUCAGGAAUCCUGCAGCAGUGCAGUUUCGUUAUCUGCAUGCCAAAUCCAUCACCGAGCCGAUCUCCAAGGUGAAAUAAAAACAUGCAUUACAAAUGAAAUGCUCUAUUGCUCUCCUUUGCCUCCUGCGAUCACCGUCACUGGAGAUCUUCGCGGUUAGUGUGAAAGACAGCUCUUCGCUACUAAUUAACAUCUCAAAGUAUUCCUCUCUCACCCUGCCACCAUGAUGCAGGGUCUGCUAGAGCCCGGGCUGUUUCUUGAAAUAAUUCAAUACUUGAGAAACAUCAGAGGGCUCCCUGUAAUCCCACAGAAUUGUCCUCAAGCUGCAUCCUGCUGCUGAUGCAUUAAGCUCUGCAGAGGCUGGCUCAGGUCUUCAACUAGAUUUAGCUCUCAGAAAGCACCUUUCCAAACACAGCAUGUCUGAUUUUACAGGCAGAAUUUUGUUUCUUGCAACAGUAAAUAGUCUGGCCAAAGAAAACACUGUGCUGCACGCGUCACCUGUGGAAAGUCACUGAGCGUACCUGUGCUUCCAGUUCCUUGUUGGAAUCCCACACUUUCUUUGUAUAGCUCAUAAACAGCUGGAUACAGAUAUUGUCUUUACUCUGUGUAUCUGCUGUGCUUGGUACACAAGCCUAAGUUCUCAGUCUCUUCUUGUGUCCUGCAAAAUCCAUAAACCAUAGUUCACAACCACAGUUUUCCAUACAAGCAUGGGGUAACCUGGGGCACCAGGUGACUUGCGGAAUUCCUCAGGAGAGGCUGCAUGUUCCCGCAUGCAUUGGCACCAGGGGCAAGUUUGUGUGUCCCCAUCCUGGCAACAAGCCUGCAAAAUUGGGGAAAUCCCAUUCCCUGUAAGCUGCCUUCCAUAUCCUCAGGGUUUCAAACCGUAUGGAUGGCUCAGGGGAGCCCCUACCCACCUGUGGCUGCUGGUUGGUACCUGGAGAUGAGAGCAAGUGGCAGGAUGGAGAUACCAAAGCCCUGAAGUAGGACAGCACCAUGCCUCUGAUAAGGACCAGAGAGCCCAUGGGUGAGUCACUGCUGGGCUGCUACAAAACUCUCCCCUGCCUGGACAUUGCUGAGUGUGCGUUUGGCAAUGGAGGAGUAGGAAGCACUGUUCUUGACUUUUGUAAAUGAGUAUGGCUCCAACACCCUCACCUGCAGCAAACACCUACUUGAUUCUUGAGCACCUAUCACUUUCACAUCUACACAUGCUGUAUGAGAACAGGAAUCUGGGAUCUCCCACCAAAAACUGCCUCAGCCUCAAGUUUAGCCCAAACUUGCCAUAACUUCCAAGAUCUUGCUCAUGGUCCAAGAUGGAAAGAGGUAGGUCUUAGUUGUUACUAGUACCUCUGGGAGCAUGAGCCUUGGAGAAAUAAUCACAGUUUUGGGAGCAGAUAAUGACAGAAUGGUAAAUUACAUAAUCUCCCGUAAACGGAGCCCAUUCGUAGCCCAAUUACCCGUCCCAGAAGCACCAUGCAAUUGAUUGCAGGGUUAUAUAAAGGGCUUUUCAUUAGUCAGAGAGCCACAAAGGGAGCUUUUUCCAAGUCUUCCUUGGGAUUACUUAACCAUCACUCUGGACAAGACCAGCAGAGCAUCACUUGGAUGGGUAGGAACAAUGUCUACCGUCUCUUCUCAAGCACGUCCGUGCCCUUCAGCCUCCCUGUGGGACAGCUGCUGCAGCUCCUGUACUAGCUGGGGCUGCCCAGAGCCGAGCCCCAAAUAGGGCAGGUCCAACCUGCACUGCUGGGGCCAGAAACUUAUGCAGAGAUGCUGGGGGUUAGAGCAUGGUCACCGCUUGGAUGAAAAAUAUAAUGCCCUACAAGCUGUACUGCACACAGCAAGACAACUGCAGCUGCAGCAAACAGCAGAGAUCCUUCUCUCUCUUCAUCAUGUCAGGGAUGUGCAGGUUUUUCUGCUCUCCCCAGCCUGUUGUAUAUAGCAGACACCAAGCAUGUGUGCCAGCAAUACUGUAACUGCAGCAGUGCCACCAUGCUGAAGAACGUGGCCAAGGACGCAGGUCCCACCCUUCCCACAGCUCAGCUGCCUGGCGGAGCGCUUCUCCACGGCACAGCUAGCAGCAGCACGUGUACCACACCGCUUCAUUCAUCCAGCUUGCGUCUGGUAUUGCAGACUAUCAAAGAGCAGACAGGAGGAAGACUAUCAAAGAACAAGUUCCUAUUCACUUGUCAUCUAGAAACAGUAACCUAUUUUAGGUGCAAUAAGAGAAAAAGUCCUGCGGGGGGUUGUUCCUUGGCUUUCACUGCCACUCAUUUUAAAAUCUCCCCUGGCCUCUCCCCUGUGACUGCCUGGGUGCAAUGCUGGCCAUUUCACAGUGCACCAAAUUUGGUGUCUUCCCUCCCCUGGCAGGAAUGACAAUGCAAACAAAAAUAGAUAAUGCAUUUAAAAAAUCUACAGUGGAUCGUCAUGGCAAUAAAUAAUUGUAGCAUGUUGCCAUAGUAACUCUAGCUGUAUUAAAGAGAGGCCUAUCUGCAGUUUAGCUAAAUUUAGUUGUUCCAAACUAUUAAAAAUAUUUUCAAGAACUCUGGUAACUCUUUAAAAAAAUGUUUAGGGUUGAAAAAAAUUAUUGAAUAUCAUCUUCAUUCAUGAUUUUGUUCUGACUCCAUAUACCAAAUGUACUUCAUCACUGAAGUUAUCAGUGCCAUGCAACCAACAUAAAAGCCAGAAAGCUGAGGAAGACACUGAGGAUUUUGCUGUUUCCCACAUGGCCAAGCCAUUCCACCCGCAUGUUUGGGGUCUGACAAUGUGUGGUUUCUGUUGUACUGACUGCAAUAGGAACUUGCCAUGGGCCUCUGGAGCCAGGGCUUCCCACCCAAAACUCAAAACCCACCAUCUACCUGCCUCAUCUUCAGAUUUGGGCUUCUAAUUUCCAAGCUUAUCUCAUGCUACAACGAGAAUGAGAAACAAGACUGCUGUGGCUCCAUCCCGCACAUGGUCUGGCAGCCGCAGACCUCCCUCAUUCCGCUGGGACCGCUUCUGUCCAUCCCGGGAAUGUCUCAUCUGUAUUUGGCUAAGGCAGAGGGGCUGAAGGAUGCACUUUUAAUAAAUUGCAAAAUAGUUCACGGAACAUUUUGGCAUAGCUAGUUGUUUUGCUGUCAGCUGGUGACAUGGUGCUAAUGGCACAACAAAUUACAGCUGCUGCAGGAUGGGGUAGCAAGGCAAUAGCCCUUGUCCAUAACCAAAGCUGAGUUUCCAAAAGGCACUUUUUAGCCCGUAUAAUUCUCUACAUCUCACAAGAAAAAAAAAAAGCAAGUCACUUCAUUGAUUUUCCAUUGAAAAGAGACUGCAACUGCAGCUCACAAAAAACUUGGACUGAACCAGAACGUGCAGCUCCGCAGGAAGAAAUACCCGAACUCCAUGCUGCUGCACGAUUUAGGGAAAACAGAACCGUGCCUUCUUGCUUCAAUACAAAACCAGAAAAAAAACAUUUUGAGUGCUCUUUAGCACAUCACUGCCUGUAAUUAUGGAAGUUUUCCUCUUUAUGCACCCUGAAAAUCUCUUGAAGUCAAGAAGAGGCCAAGAAACACGGCCGCGAGCGCCCAGUUGGAAGAGCGACCGUGCGGUUACAGCACUGAGCACAGCCCCAGAGCUCUGCUCAACACUUACCCUGAACUUUUAGUAGGACCUUGGGGAAAAUCACCUGCAAAUGUUCUUCUGCUGUAGUUUCCAAGCUGCAAAACAAGACUAAUGCAUUUACCUCUCACCCUUUGAUCUAGCUGGGCAGCUCAGCACAGCAAGGCAUCGUGUUUUGCUGGUACAUUUGCGCAGCACCCAGUGUGUUGCAGUCCAAACCCCCUUUGAGACACACACCCUGACAAGACACAGCCAGUGGUAACUCUCUGGUGCUGCUUUUCUUCAGCUUGACAGCAGCGUUGUGCUUGCUAGUUGGUUUCUACUUCCCCACAGCCCCAUGCUCUGGUGUAAUCAAAGGAGUGUAUUUCUAAGUACUUGCUCGGAGGUUGCCACUGACAGACUGCAAAACUUGGUGCUGGCAGCUGGGUUAUGAGCCUCCUUCUGCAACAGAUGCUGCCCACAGUGUGGGGAGCUCCCUGGCAGCAUCCUCAGCUGCAGCCUCAGCUGCACCCCUCCCAGCCUGGGCUCUGUUAUCACUCCUCUGACUGUGCCGAUGUGAGCUGGAGACAUCCCAGCCCACCACCCACCGCCCUCUCAGCCCUGGCAGGAACUCAUCAAGGUUGCCCUGCAAACCCAAAGCGGCUGCAGGGAAUGGUGAGGAGCAGUGCUGUUUACAUAGGGCCGUAGCCAGUUUUCAGAAGCAGAACAUACAACAAGGAUGGAAAGGCUCAGCCCUGGGCAGGGAAGGGAAAUUCGUUACCUUGAGAGUCAUUGGGCGUUGCGAAGCCUGGCAUUUCACUCCUCCAUCCUCUGCCCAGCAGGAUUCCCUGUGCCCUCAUUCACAUUUAGAACUAUGAAGGAGAGAGCAGGAUCCUGUAUCGCUUAUGGUCUGUUGUACACUGUGGAUACAGCAUCUAAAUUAGGUUUAAAAAUAGACCACUUUUUUUUCUUGUUGUAAACAGAAGUUAUUAUCUCAUGGAAACAUUUAACCUCAAAUGGAACCUCAUCUAAUUUUUGCUGUGUUUAUUAUAGCCUGUGAAAAAUGAAUGAGUGCCACUGAUAUAACUCCAUACGAUUAUUGAGCUGCAAUGGGCCAGCUGGAAAAGAUUCAGCAGUUUGGAUAAAGAAACAAAAGUUCUAAUAUUGUGCUGAUCUUUACUGGACAGUCCUAACCUCCGGGGCAGGAAAUGCUGGGACCAUCCUUCCUCAUGGAGUUGUGUUGGGUUUGCCCUGGUUGUGGCUGCCCACGGGAAACACAAGAGCCGAUGGCAAAAACACACGGCAGACUGAACUGUCACUAACUGAUGUGCAAAAAAAGAGAAUUAAGAAACACUGGUUUCACACUUUUAUUUUUGUCAUGAUCUUAAGAUGUCUGUAAUGCCACGUGUUAGUAUUCAUAGUUCGUUUUUCGGUGCGUUUAAAUAAUAUAUACAGUUAUUUACCUAAAACUGUGAUGGAAGUUUUUGCCUGAUUCUGAAGAAAGGGGCAAUUUCAGCUUAAUGUCAUUUGCGCUAGUAGCUUUGCUGUCACAAAAUAAUAGUUUAAGCCAAUCGUACCAAUCCUGCGAGCAGCUCCUGAAAAGGGGUGUGUUAUUUAGGUUGGCAAAUCCCAUGGGGUUGACUCCUCAGGGGGGGGCAGCAGACCCCCACUGCCACUAACCCUGCUGCUGGGCUUUGCCGACAGGGAAACCUCGUUAGUUCUUGCAGCAUGCAUUCAGAGUGGCUCCACUGGAGUUUUUUUCAUAGCCCUGGUUACUGGUAACCCAUGUAAUGGGCACGAAAGUCCAGAAUUUGUUCCUUUUAAAACCUGUUCUCCAUCACUGAGACGUCUGGCAUCUUUAAAAGCAAGUCAUCUUCACAUUGCUUCUUGCAAAUUAAAACCAAAUAACAAUAAUUCAAAUAGUAAUAAUAAUAAAGUAUGAGUUCAAGGCAAUUCAAGAUGAUCAGUUUUACAAGUUGGAUUUCUGUGAAGGAAACAGAUGCAGUUCCCAAACACUCACCUUCUCCCUCACCUCUCAGUGCCUGCGUGCAGAUAUAAGCCCUGCAUGUAGCAGAGCUACUCCUGGUCUAUUCUUGUAGUGCUGAGAUGGAGAUCAAGCCCACUGCAGCGCAAAGCUUAAUAAUGCCCAUCUUCAGUUAAUUCCUGUUACGCUCAAUGGAAAACACACCUUGUGAAAAGUCCAGGUGCGGGACCAUUUGUUACAAAGACUACGCAGAAAUCUAUUGGAAAAUUCAAUGUGUUUAAUUCCACUUACUGGCUUUUCCCUUAAAAGUCCUAAAUUGGAAAAACGUGUUCAUUCUAAAGAGGAAACAAAGAAAACACUACAACGUUUUGUUAGCCCAAAACCGAGGAAAUAUCUGCAUCGCUCUCUGGACAGUUGCUGGGUGCAUCGUUUGUGAAGUGGUGUAACUGUAACAAGUGAUGUGCGGUCUAGAUAAUUUUUACAUUACAUCUGUGCUUAAAAAUAAUUUAAUUUUAGAAGGGAAAAAUAGUUGCUAAGGAACCAGUUACAAACUCCUGGCUGGUUCUUCGUGAAGUGCACAGACAAAUAUUUCUAUUGAAGCCGUUAGAACUAUUCCAGAGAAGAAAUUAAAUGCUGUAAAUAGAAGAACAGUUUUACUGUUCUCUUCACAUUAGAGUUUUCAUACUUUUACAUGCGUUACUUUGGGGGCAGGAAUAAGUCUUGCUUAAUUUCAGUAAUGCAAUAAAAAAUUUUAAUUUAGGAUGUGGGCAAGAUUCUUAAUAUGGAAAUAACUAAAUAAC